UACAGAGGGGGCAAGCGUUGUUCGGAAUUACUGGGCGUAAAGGGCGCGUAGGCGGCCCGCUAAGUCGAACGUGAAAUCCCCGAGCUCAACUCGGGAACUGCGUCCGAUACUGGCGGGCUUGAAUCCGGGAGAGGGAUGCGGAAUUCCAGGUGUAGCGGUGAAAUGCGUAGAUAUCUGGAGGAACACCGGUGGCGAAGGCGGCAUCCUGGACCGGCAUUGACGCUGAGGAGCGAAAGCCAGGGGAGCAAACGGG
rnacentral:rRNA from 1 species